rnacentral:rRNA from 1 species
CCCUACGGGGGGCAGCAGUAGGGAAUCUUCCACAAUGGGCGAAAGCCUGAUGGAGCAACGCCGCGUGGGUGAAGAAGGCCUUCGGAUCGUAAAACCCUGUUGUUAGAGAAGAAAGUGCGUGAGAGUAACUGUUCACGUUUCGACGGUAUCUGACCAGAAAGCCACGGCUAACUACGUGCCAGCAGCCGCGGUAAUACGUAGGUGGCAAGCGUUAUCCGGAUUUAUUAGGCGUAAAGGGAACGCAGGCGGUCUUUUAAGUCUGAUGUGAAAGCCUUCGGCUUAACCGGAGUAGUGGAUUGGAAACU